rnacentral:rRNA from 1 species
GCCAGCAGCAAUAUCAGCCUGCAGCUCUCAACUGCCUUCCUACCCAGUGAAACUAAGCAGGGUUGAGCCUGGCCAGUACCUGGAUGGAAGACUCCUGGGAAGCUAUGGUUGCUGCUGGAA